AUUCCAGCUCCAAUAGCGUAUAUUAAAGUUGUUGCAGUUAAAAAGCUCGUAGUUGGAUUUCUGGUAGGAGCGACCGUGCCGAACUUGAUUGUUCGUGUAUUGUGUUGUCUUCAGCCAUCCUCGUGGAGAACUUUUCUAACAUUAACUUGUUGGGAUUGGGACCCGCGUCGUUUACUGUGAAAAAAUUAGAGUGUUUAAAGCAGGCAUUAGCUUGAAUACAUUAGCAUGGAAUAAUAAGAUAGGACUUUGGUACUAUUUUGUUGGUUUGCAUACCAAAUUAAUGAUCAACAGGAACAGUUUGAGGAUAUUCGUGUGAACAUGUCAGAGGUGAAAUUCUUGGAUUUUGAUCAGACGAACUACUGCGAAAGCAUUUAUCAAGGAUGUUUUCAUCG
rnacentral:rRNA from 1 species